AGGAUAAUAGUUAAAUUUAACAUUUAAUUUGCAUUUAAAAAAUACUGAUUAUUCAGUUUGUCUUA
rnacentral:tRNA from 1 species